rnacentral:misc_RNA from 1 species
GCAGCACUCACUUCUGCCAGUGGCACGGGGUUACAUGCAGCCGUAGGCAUCAAAGAGUUGUGAUCUUGAACUUGCGAUCCCUCCAACUUUCAGGUUCUAUAUCACCGCAUAUUGGCAACUUGAGCUUCCUAAGAGAGCUGAAUCUCAUGAAUAAUAGUUUCAGCGAUGCAAUCCCUCCUGAAGUUGGCCAUCUGAGGAGAUUACAAAAAUUAAAACUGUCCAAUAAUUCAUUUACGGGCAAGAUUCCUUCAAAUAUAUCUGCCUGUUUCAAGCUCUCCGACAUUUUCCUCGCAUACAAUAAUCUGGAAAGAGAAAUUCCUAAGGAGCUCAACACAUUGUCAAAGCUCCAAGUUCUUAGUCUGCAAAAAAACUACCUGUCAGG